rnacentral:tRNA from 1 species
GGAGGAGUACCCAAGUUUGGCUGAAGGGAGCGGUCUUGAAAACCGCCAGAGGCUUUACGGCCCGCGGGGGUUCGAAUCCCUCCUCCUCCGCCA